UGACAAAUGGGCAACAAUUGACAGGUGGUCAAUCAACACUUUCAACCCAGAAAAUUAUGAAGUGAACAGAAUGUUAUGAAUUGGGCUCCAAAAUCUUUGGAUCAUGUAUCGAGUACUACAAAACUACGGAAUUGGGAUACAAACAAGUUUUCUCUAAAGGUGAUACUUUUUUGUCUAAUCCUGUUACUUCAAUUAAUCGAAUCAUGAUGUUUCUCAUUUUCUUGCCAAUGAGAAGGUGCAUUACCAACUUCUCAAACACCAUUUCUGAAAAUAAAAUCCUAGUUUAAUGCGAAAAGUUUGUCCCACACAACGAAAGCUCAUGAAGACGUUGUGAACGAGUUGCUAAACUUGGUUGUGGGCACAUGAAAGAUUCAUUUCGAUUUGUCAUCGCCACCAAGAGCUAUUCCCCAAAGCCGUGGACUGUUCUGGUAAACUGGAUCGAGUUCGUCUUCAUGAAAAAGCAGAUUAGCAACAUGACAAUGGAAGCAGCGGAUCGCGCGUCACGACAUGAUCCAGAGAAGGCGAUGCAGGGCGAUUCACGGCGAAAGAGGGAGCGGGCGGGAGAGAGCGAUGCAGCAGGGGGGGCAUGGAUAAUUAGUGUGCCAGAGCUAAGGGACGAGAAUCUAGAAGGUGCGCAUGGACGCCAGCCAAAUCUGGGCGCCGAACCUGCAACAACAGGCCGUGGUGGGAUGGGGCCCCCAUCACCCGCACCAGGCUCCAGCUCCAGCACUCCAAGGGCGACCUGGUUUGGAAUGGAGAUGAGGGCACUGCCGCUCCCUCCGAGACUGGGUCUCAGCCCAAUGACACAACUCGGCGCUCGUCAUCGCAGAGGCAGAGCGCACGGCGGCGACAGCGAGGCGUGCUCGGCUUUGCUAAACUGCUGCGACAUUGUGCGCGCCUGAAACCCUAAUUUCCCUCCUCUCUCUGUCUCUCAGUCUCUGUCUGUCCGUCUUUCUUGCUCUGUCUCUCUCUCUCUCGCCGUGUGUCGCUGGUUCUUCGCCACCAUCAUUGCUCUUCCCAAUUCAAUUGAUGUGUGGAUGGCAGCGAUGGUAGGUGGGGUUGCGGUCAUCCACACGCUCACAUCUCUCUCUUGGUCACAUCCAGUUAGGAGCUUUCUGGAGUGUACGCUUUCUCCCUUUGUGUGAGUGUGAGUGUGCGUGUGUUUACUGGAUGUAGUCCAUUACGUACAAAUGCACCUCUAUACACAUUGAAUCUGUAUUUCCUUCUCAACUACCAUGGUUUUGUUAUUUCUCCAUCCAAUGUCGAAAUACCUUAAACCACGUCACUCCCUUGAACGAACAACUAGCAGUGCGAAGAAAGUGAUGCAAUCAUAAAGCUGACGGUUAUGUAGGGAUGCAUGACAUGAGGAUGUUCAUGCAGUAAAAGAGGAGAGUGUGCACCCAACAGUUGUCUAAAAAAUUGUAGAUGGAUUUAUAGAUCAAAUGGACAUAUGAGGAGAAAAAUGGGACUUGGGAUAGACUUUGUAUAUAAGAAUAGCAUUUGGUUUGCACUUACUGUGAGCUUCUUGUAGAACAAAGAUUAACAAUUAUAGUGGUGGAAUUUUAUUCUGCAUAGAAUUAUCGUCUAAUAAAAGUAACUUGAAUAGAAAUUUGGAUAUGAUUGUAUUUCUAUAUCCUACUUGUUCAAAACCAAUGAAUGAUUAACAUGUUUACUUAAUAUAAA